GACGAACGCUGGCGGCGUGCCUAAUACAUGCAAGUAGAACGCACAGUUUAUACCGUAGCUUGCUACACCAUAGACUGUGAGUUGCGAACGGGUGAGUAACGCGUAGCUAACCUGCCUGGUAGCGGGGGAUAACUAUUGGACACGAUAGCUAAUACCGCAUAAUAUUGAUUAUUGCAUGAUAAUUGAUGGAAAGAUGCUAUUGCAUCACUACCAGAUGGACCUGCGUUGUAUUAGCUAGUAGGUGAGGUAACGGCCCACCUAGGCGACGAUACAUAGCCGACCUGGGAGGGUGAUCGGCCAACCUGGGACUGAGACAAGGCCCAGCACCCUAAGGGAGGCAGCCGUAGGGAAUCUUCCGCAAUGGACGAAAGUCUGACCGAGCCACGCCGCGUGAGUGAAGAAGGUUUUCGGAUCGUAAAGCUCUGUAGUAAGAGAAGAACGGGUGGGAGAGUGGAAAGUUCACACUGUGACGGUAUCUUACCAGAAAGGGACGGCUAACUACGUG
rnacentral:rRNA from 1 species